rnacentral:tRNA from 1 species
GUUUGAAUAGUUUAAGUAGAAUAAUAAUUUGUGGUGUUAUAGGUAUAAUUUUAUUUCAGACU